AACGAACGCUGGCGGCAGGUCUUAGGCAUGCAAGUCGAACGGGUGUAGUAAUACACCAGUGGCGAACGAGUGAGUAACGCGUGGGAAUCUGCCCAUCUCUGGGGAAUAACGGUUGGAAACGAACGCUAAUACCGCAUACGCCCGCAAGGGGAAAGAUUUAUCGGAGAUGGAUGAGCCCGCGUUGGAUUAGUUAGUUUGCGGGGUAACGGACUACCAAGGCGAUGAUCCAUAGCUGUUCUGAGAGGACGAUCAGCCACGCUGGAACUGAGAUACGGUCCAGACUCAUACGGGAGGCAGCAGCUAAGAAUAUUGGGCAAUGGAGGAAACUCUGACCCAGCCAUGCCGCGUGAAUGAAGAAGGCCUUCGGGUUGUAAAGUUCUCUUAGUCGUGACGAUGAUGACGGUAGCGACAGAAAAAGCACCGGCUAAUUUCGUGCCAGCCGCCGCCGUAA
rnacentral:rRNA from 1 species